CAUCCCUACGGGGGGCAGCAGUGAGGAAUAUUGGUCAAUGGGCGAGAGCCUGAACCCGCCAAGUCGCGUGAGGGAAGACGGUCCUAUGGAUUGUAAACCUCUUUUGUCGGGGAGCAAAAAGGCCUCGUGAGGCCACAAGUGAGAGUACCCGAAGAAACAGCAUCGGCUCACUCCGCGCCAGCAGCCGCGGUAAUACGGAGGAUGCGAGCGUUAUCCGGUUUUAUUGGGUUUAAAGGGUGCGUAGGCGGACUGGAAAGUCAGCGGUUAAAUCGAGAGGCUCAACCUCUUUCCGCCGUUGAAACUGU
rnacentral:rRNA from 1 species